AGAAUCAACGCUGGCGGCGUGCCUAACACAUGCAAGUCGAACGAGAAAGUGGAGCAAUCCAUGAGUAAAGUGGCGCACGGGUGAGUAACACGUGACUAACCUACCUUUUAGUGGGGGAUAACCUAGGGAAACCUGGGCUAAUACCGCAUAAUACCUACGGGUCAAAGCAGCAAUGCGCUGAUAGAGGGGGUCGCGGCCGAUUAGCUAGUUGGCGGGGUAAUGGCCCACCAAGGCAGUGAUCGGUAUCCGGCCUGAGAGGGCGCACGGACACACUGGAACUGAAACACGGUCCAGACUCCUACGGGAGGCAGCAGUGGGGAAUCUUGCGCAAUGGCCGAAAGGCUGACGCAGCGACGCCGCGUGGGGGAGGAAGGCCUUCGGGUUGUAAACCCUGUUGCCCGGGACGAAUGUGCUUUUAGAGAGCAUUGACGGUACCGGGUGAGGAAGCACCGGCUAACUCCGUGCCAGCAGCCGC
rnacentral:rRNA from 1 species